rnacentral:miRNA from 1 species
UGAAACCAAGUAUGGGUCGCCU